CCCGCGUCCUCAACUCUCCUCCUCUCUCCUCCAUCGGCCUCCUCAUCUCUACUCUCCCCUCUCAUCUGCUCCUCUCUCCUCUCUCUCUCUCCUCUUCUCUCUCCUCUCCUCCCUCUCCCUCCCCCCUCUCUCUCUCUCUCCCCUCUCUACUCCUCUCCCCCUCUCUCCCCUUCUCUCUCUCCUUUCUCUCCCUCUCUCUCCCUCCUCUCUCUUCCCCCUCCCUUGCUUUCUCUCUCUUUCUAUCUCCCCCGCUCUCUCUCUCUCUCACCCCCCCCCCCCCCUCUCUCUGGGAUGUGUUCCACCUGAUAACCUUGUUGCCCAAGAAACAAAUCUUGUCAUCCAAUCGGAUCCCUCAACCCACAUGCAUUUGCACACACCCUUCUUCUCUCAUUGUGUCCCAGCCUUCUUAUGUAUCACACUGUCGAUGAUAAACCAGGGAUAGACCACCAUGGCCAGUCCAGCACCAGCAUGCUGCAAAACCCCUUCCAGUCCAGAGGGGGGAGUGGCGGAGACCCAAACGACAAAGCGCUUCAUCACGGACAACUAUGAGCUAAGCAAGGAAGAGCUAGAUGGUCUCAUGAAGGAAGGAGAAGAAGAGCGUCCCUUCCUGGUGGUCCAUCAUCUGCUGGAUGUAAAAGAGGCAGGUGUGCGGUAUUAUUGCCUGGGACUCAGGUCAUUGCAGAGUGGACAGCACUGAGAGACACCACACGCUCCAAGGUGUGUGUGUGUGUCAACUGUAAAUGUGUAUAUAACGUUGUAGUUGGACGUUCGUACACCUUAGCCAAUACAUUUAAACUCUGUUUUUCACAUUCCUGACAUUUAAUAUAGUAAAAAUUCC
rnacentral:lncRNA from 1 species